UACAGAGGGUGCAAGCGUUAAUCGGAAUUACUGGGCGUAAAGCGUGCGUAGACGGUUAUUUAAGUCAGGUGUGAAAGCCCCGGGCUCAACCUGGGAAUUGCAUUUGAGACUGAAUAGCUAGGGUGCGGAAGAGGAGAGUGGAAUUCCUGGUGUAGCGGUGAAAUGCGCAGAUAUCAGGAAGAACACCCGUGGCGAAGGCGGCUCUCUGGGACGGUACUGACGCUGAGACGCGAAAGCGUGGGGAGCAAACAGG
rnacentral:rRNA from 1 species